ensembl:misc_RNA Metazoa_SRP Metazoan signal recognition particle RNA
GCCAGGCACGGUGUCGCAUGCCUGUAAUCCCAGCUACCCAGGAGGCUGAGGCAGAAGAAUCACUGGAACCCGGGAGGCAGAGGCUGCAGUGAGCUGAGAUCGAGCCACUGCACUCCAGCCUGGGUGACAGAGCGAGACUCUGUCUCAA